GGGGAAUUUUCCGCAAUGGGCGCAAGCCUGACGGAGCAAGACCGCGUGAGGGAGGAAGGCUCUUGGGUUGUAAACCUCUUUUCUCAGGGAAGAACACAAUGACGGUACCUGAGGAAUAAGCCUCGGCUAACUCCGUGCCAGCAGCCGCGGUAAUACGGAGGAGGCAAGCGUUAUCCGGAAUUAUUGGGCGUAAAGCGUCCGCAGGUGGCUUGUCAAGUCUGCUGUCAAAGGUCAAGGCUUAACCUUGAAAAGGCAGUGGAAACUGACAAGCUAGAGGGCUCUAGGGGUAGAGGGAAUUCCCGGUGUAGCGGUGAAAUGCGUAGAGAUCGGGAAGAACAUCGGUGGCGAAAGCGCUCUACUGGAGAGCAACUGACACUCAGGGACGAAAGCUAGGGGAGCGAAUGGGAUUAGAUACCCCAG
rnacentral:rRNA from 1 species